AGUCGAACGAUUAACCCGCCCUCGGGCGGUUAUAGAGUGGCGAACGGGUGAGUAACACGUGACCAACCUGCCCCUUGCUCCGGGACAACCCAGGGAAACCUCGGCUAAUACCGGAUACUCCGCGCAGCCCGCAUGGGAGGCGCGGGAAAGCCCAGACGGCAAGGGAUGGGGUCGCGGCCCAUUAGGUAGACGGCGGGGUAACGGCCCACCGUGCCCGCGAUGGGUAGCCGGGUUGAGAGACCGAUCGGCCACAUUGGGACUGAGAUACGGCCCAGACUCCUACGGGAGGCAGCAGUGGGGAAUUUUGCGCAAUGGGGGAAACCCUGACGCAGCAACGCCGCGUGCGGGACGAAGGCCUUCGGGUUGUAAACCGCUUUCAGCAGGGAAUAUAGUGAAGGUACCUGCAGAAGAAGCUCCGGCUAACUACGUGCCAGCAGCCGCGGUAAUACGUAGGGAGCGAGCGUUAUCCGGAUUCAUUGGGCGUAAAGCGCGCGUAGGCGGCCCGUCAAGCGGGGUUUCAAAUCCAGGGGCUCAACCUCUGGCCGGACCCCGAACUGGCGGGCUCGAGUGCGGUAGAGGAAGGUGGAAUUCCCAGUGUAGCGGUGAAAUGCGCAGAUAUUGGGAAGAACACCGAUGGCGAAGGCAGCCUUCUGGGCCGCCACUGACGCUGAGGCGCGAAA
rnacentral:rRNA from 1 species